UACGGGAAGGCAGCAGUGGGGAAUAUUGCACAAUGGGCGCAAGCCUGAUGCAGCCAUGCCGCGUGUAUGAAAAAGGCCUUCGGGUUGUAAAGUACUUUCAGUCGUGAGGAAGGUGUUAAGGUUAAUAACCUUAGCAAUUGACGUUAGCGACAGAAGAAGCACCGGCUAACUCCGUGCCAGCAGCCGCGGUAAUACGGAGGGUGCGAGCGUUAAUCGGAAUUACUGGGCGUAAAGGGCACGCAGGCGGUUAAUUAAGUUGGAUGUGAAAUCCCCGGGCUUAACCUGGGAAUGGCAUUCAAGACUGGUUAGCUAGAGUCUUGUAGAGGGGGUAGAAUUCCAUGUGUAGCGGUGAAAUGCGUAGAGAUGUGGAGGAAUACCGGUGGCGAAGGCGGCCCCUGGACAAAGACUGACGCUCAUGUGCGAAAGCUGGGGAGCAAACAGGGAUUAGAUACC
rnacentral:rRNA from 1 species